UGCCCAGCAACUCCUAUCUCUACCUCCACGCGGUACCGGCCGGAAACUAUGAGCAACCUUAGGGAAGAUCGGGUAACCAACCCCGGUGGGAACUUUGGUCGUAGGCUGACAGGGAAGG
rfam:Aedes albopictus isolate Foshan contig13630, whole genome shotgun sequence.